rnacentral:rRNA from 1 species
CGCCUGUUUAUCAAAAACAUGUCUUUUUGUUAAUUAUUUAAGGUUUGGCCUGCUCCAUGAAUGUAAUUAAAUAGCCGCAGUAUUUUGACUGUGCAAAGGUAGCAUAAUCAUUAGUUUUUUAAUUGAAAGCUGGAAUGAAGGGUCGGAUGAGAAAGUUUCUGUCUCAGUGGUAUUUUCUUUGAAUUUUAUUUUUAAGUUAAAAAGCUUAGAUUUUAUAAAAAGACGAGAAGACCCUAUAGAGUUUAAUAGGUUUAUAAUGUAUUUAUUUGUAGGUAUAAAUUUAAUUACUUUAUAUCUUAUUUGGUUGGGGUGACUUAAGAAUUGAUUAAACUUCUUUAUUUAUUAACAUUGAUUAGUGAAUGGUUGAUCCUAAAUUUUGGAUUAUAAGAAUAAAUUACCUUAGGGAUAACAGCGUAAUUUUUUUAGAGAGUUCUUAUCGAUAAAAAGGAUUGCGACCUCGAUGUUGGAUUAAAGUUAAAUCUUGGUGCAAAAGCUAGGGAUUUA